GAUGAACGCUAGCGGCAGGCUUAACACAUGCAAGUCGAGGGGUAGAGGAAGCUUGCUUCCUUGAGACCGGCGCACGGGUGCGUAACGCGUAUGCAAUCUACCUUCAACAGGGGGAUAGCCCAGAGAAAUUUGGAUUAAUACCCCAUAGUAUUUUUGCCUGGCAUCAGGUGAUUAUUAAAGUUCCAACGGUUGAAGAUGAGCAUGCGUCCCAUUAUCUAGAUGGUAAGGUAACGGCUUACCAUGGCUCCGAUGGGUAGGGGUCCUGAGAGGGAGAUCCCCAACACUGGUACUGAGACACGGACCAGACUCCUACGGGAGGCAGCAGUGAGGAAUAUUGGUCAAUGGGCGCAAGCCUGAACCAGCCAUGCCGCGUGCAGGAUGAAGCAUCUAUGGUGUGUAAACUGCUUUUGUACGGGAAGAAACACCGGUUCGUGAACCGGCUUGACGGUACCGUAAGAAUAAGGAUCGGCUAACUCCGUGCCAGCAGCCGCAGUAACAC
rnacentral:rRNA from 1 species